CGCUAAUGCAAUUAACUAUGAAUGUAACGACACUUACAGAAGCCUAACUUGUUUUAACAGCGCUGACAUGAGCCGGAUGUGCGCUUGGAGAACCAGGUGGUGAUUACUUUGUUGGACAAACUAGCAGCUCUGUGUGCCUGAGAGUAAAGUGAGCCACUUGCAGAUCCAUCCCUCAACCUGCUGAGAACACUUGCAGCACAACAAAGACUAAAAACAAUAAAAGAGCUCCGCAACUCUCCAGACUCUUAUACCUGUUUAUGGAAUCACAGAACUUUUCAGUACUCAUCUGAUUUCUCCAUGGAGCAUCCCGUCUGCGAGAGUAAAAAGACUAGCUGGUCAGAAGCGUGGGAGUGAGACACUGUGUACAGUGUUUCAGGUCAUGGAGAUGAAGCAAUAAACCGAUUUAUAGCAAAUUGCCCCUUUUUAGGUUUCCUGCUACACAAGAAACGGGAGCCUCAGCAGAGGGAUGAAUGAGCCACUUGCGGCUCCGGAGCCGCGGGCUGCCGACCCCUGGUCUAGAUGCUAGAUGGAGAAGCGCAGCAGCUUCGAUUGAGGACAGCUUUAUUAGCAAAGAAGCUAAAGCUCUGAGCAGAGUGUACAUGUGACGAACAGAGGUUUUUCAGGGGUGUUUCUGGCAUCACUACAUCAUUACAGCCACAUGAAAAAAAAACCAAUAGUGUUUUAUAUACCGUUUCUCCAACAUACAGUAUAGCUAAAUUGCCUGUACAUUAAUUUCCCCCUUUUUCUCUAUUGUCCGGUGAUGAAGAAAGAUGCACACAAGUCGCUGUACGUGUUCACUAACUAACACAUUCACUCUGCUCACACUUUAAAUGUCACUAUGGACUGGAGAGUGUUGGUACCUCCUGGCCAGUAGGGCACUCAUCUCCUCCAUGAGUCCUCCUCCUCCAGGCAGCGGACCAUUUCCUCGGGCAGCCUCGGGCUUGGCAGCGCUGGGAGCCGUCACACCACCAACAGCUGCGAUACUUGGCUCUUCAUUCUGCAACAGGAAUCAGCAGCAUAAGAAAUCGUAACAUCCUACAGGCACAAACAUGAGAAGUGCGAAGUAGAGAGAUGAAGCUGAAGAAAUCCACUCAAGCAGGUCAUGUCAACAAAGGACCGGCUCUGGCAUGGAGGCAAAACAGACGAGUCAACACCCGUGACACAUGCCGAGUCCUGACUCGAGGCCCGUUUGGACCGUGCAGCUUUUCCGCUCGGCUUUAAAGACCAAGGGUUUCCGUCUCUGUGGACGUCUGCCAGGACGGUCCAUAUGGAGCCUUCAUGACUUUUCUGCCCAGCAGAUUUCACUUAAUGCUGACUUUCCCUUUAAAGAAAAUUCCUUCAAAAAACUACAUAGUUGACAACAUUCCCUUUCUCACCAUUGUAGCUGUGUGUGAGCUCUGUGACUCUGAGUGAACAGGGGCUUAAAGAGAUGCAGAAUUUUGCUUCGCGUGUCUCCAGAGGAAGCACAUGUUCGCUGUACCCUCCAUGGCUGGUAGGUGACGGGUGAUCAGGGCGAGUCGGCUGGAUGACAAAACGAUCUUUAAUUAUAUACACUCACCGGCCACUUUAUUAGG